UACAGAGGGGGCAAGCGUUAUUCGGAAUUAUUGGGCGUAAAGGGCGCGUAGGCGGCUUUGUAAGUUAGAGGUGAAAGCCCGGGGCUCAACUCCGGAAUUGCCUUUAAGACUGCAUCGCUAGAAUUGUGGAGAGGUAAGUGGAAUUCCGAGUGUAGAGGUGAAAUUCGUAGAUAUUCGGAAGAACACCAGUGGCGAAGGCGACUUACUGGACAAAUAUUGACGCUGAGGUGCGAAAGCGUGGGGAGCAAACAGG
rnacentral:rRNA from 1 species